rnacentral:rRNA from 1 species
GACGAACGCUGGCGGUGUGCUUAACACAUGCAAGUCGAACGGAAAGGCCCUGCUUUUGUGGGGUGCUCGAGUGGCGAACGGGUGAGUAACACGUGAGUAACCUGCCCUUGACUUUGGGAUAACUUCAGGAAACUGGGGCUAAUACCGGAUAGGAGCUCCUGCUGCAUGGUGGGGGUUGGAAAGUUUCGGCGGUUGGGGAUGGACUCGCGGCUCAUCAGCUUGUUGGUGGGGUAGUGGCUUACCAAGGCUUUGACGGGUAGCCGGCCUGAGAGGGUGACCGGCCACAUUGGGACUGAGAUACGGCCCAGACUCCUACGGGAGGCAGCAGUGGGGAAUAUUGCACAAUGGGCGGAAGCCUGAUGCAGCAACGCCGCGUGCGGGAUGACGGCCUUCGGGUUGUAAACCGCUUUCGCCUGUGACGAAGCGUGAGUGACGGUAAUGGGUAAAGAAGCACCGGCUAACUACGUG